AUCAAUACUUUCUCGGUUCGUCUC
rnacentral:siRNA from 1 species